CAGGCCUAACACAUGCAAGUCGAGCGGUAGAAGUCCUUCGGGACUUUGAGAGCGGCGCACGGGUGCGUAACACGUGUGCAACCUACCUUUAUCUGGGGGAUAGCCUUUCGAAAGGAAGAUUAAUACCCCAUAAUAUAUUGAAUGGCAUCAUUUAAUAUUGAAAACUCCGGUGGAUAAAGAUGGGCACGCGCAAGAUUAGAUAGUUGGUGAGGUAACGGCUCACCAAGUCAAUGAUCUUUAGGGGUCCUGAGAGGGAGAUCCCCCACACUGGUACUGAGACACGGACCAGACUCCUACGGGAGGCAGCAGUGAGGAAUAUUGGACAAUGGGUGAAAGCCUGAUCCAGCCAUCCCGCGUGAAGGAUGACGGUCCUAUGGAUUGUAAACUUCUUUUGUAUAGGAAUAAACCUUUCUACGUGUAGAAAGCUGAAGGUACUAUACGAAUAAGCACCGGCUAACUCCGUGCCAGCAGCCGCGGUAAUACGGAGGGUGCAAGCGUUAUCCGGAUUUAUUGGGUUUAAAGGGUCCGUAGCGGACCGAUAAGUCAGUGGUGAAAUCUCAUAGCUUAACUAUGAAACUGCCAUUGAUACUGUCGGUCUUGAGUAAAUUUGAAGUGGCUGGAAUAAGUAGUGUAGCGGUGAAAUGCAUAGAUAUUACUUAGAACACCAAUUGCGAAGGCAGGUCACUAAGAUUUAACUGACGCUGAUGGACGAAAGCGUGGGUAGCGAACAGGAUUAGAUACCCUGGUAGUCCACGCCGUAAACGAUGCUAACUCGUUUUUGGGCUUUCGGGCUCAGAGACCAAGCGAAAGUGAUAAGUUAGCCACCUG
rnacentral:rRNA from 1 species